rnacentral:rRNA from 1 species
GAUGAACGCUGGCGGCGUGCCUAAUACAUGCAAGUCGAGCGAACAGACGAGGAGCUUGCUCCUCUGACGUUAGCGGCGGACGGGUGAGUAACACGUGGAUAACCUACCUAUAAGACUGGGAUAACUUCGGGAAACCGGAGCUAAUACCGGAUAAUAUAUUGAACCGCAUGGUUCAAUAGUGAAAGACGGUUUUGCUGUCACUUAUAGAUGGAUCCGCGCCGAAUUAGCUAGUUGGUAAGGUAACGGCUUACCAAGGCAACGAUGCGUAGCCGACCUGAGAGGAUGAACGGCCACACGGGAACUGAGACACGGUCCAGACUCCUACGGGAGGAAGCAGUAGAGAAUCUUCCGCGAUGGGCGAAAGCGGGACGGAGCAACGCCGCGUGAGGGAUGAAGGUCUUCGGAUCGGAAAACUCUGAUAUUAGGGAAGAACAAAUGUGUAAGUAACUAUGCACGUCUUGACGGUACCUAAGCAGAAAGCCACGGCUAACUACGUG